rnacentral:rRNA from 1 species
UACGUAGGGUGCGAGCGUUAAUCGGAAUUACUGGGCGUAAAGCGUGCGCAGGCGGUUCGCUAAGACCGAUGUGAAAUCCCCGGGCUUAACCUGGGAACUGCAUUGGUGACUGGCGGGCUAGAGUAUGGCAGAGGGGGGUAGAAUUCCACGUGUAGCAGUGAAAUGCGUAGAGAUGUGGAGGAACACCGAUGGCGAAGGCAGCCUUCUGGGCCAAUACUGACGCUCAUGCACGAAAGCGUGGGGAGCAAACAGG